rnacentral:rRNA from 2 species
GGACUACAAGGGUAUCUAAUCCCGUUUGCUCCCCUGGCUUUCGUGCCUCAGCGUCAGGAAAUGUCCAGAGACUCGCCUUCGCCACUGGUGUUCCACUUGAUAUCUACGCAUUUCACUGCUACACCAAGUAUUCCAGUCUCCCCUCCAUUCCUCGAGCCGGAUAGUAUCCAACGCAGUUUCCAAGUUGAGCUUGGAGAUUUCACGUCAGACUUACCCGACCGCCUACGCACCCUUUACGCCCAGUGAAUCCGAACAACGCUUGGGACCUCUGUAUUACCGCGGCUGCUGGCAC